GGGUCGAUGGCGUAGUUGGUUAUCGCAUCUGUCUAACAAACUGGUGCGGAACCGUGCCUUGUACGAGGUACGGUUCCGCACUUGGCCACAGAAGGUCGCCAGUUCGAACCUGGCUCGACUCA
rfam:Coprinopsis cinerea okayama7#130 chromosome 7 cont3.7, whole genome shotgun sequence.